rnacentral:rRNA from 1 species
CUGGUUGAUCCUGCCAGAGGUUACCGCUAUCGAGAUUCGACUAAGCCAUGCGAGUCGAAUGUUCUUCGUGAACAUGGCGAACUGCUCAGUAACACGUAGACAACCUACCCUUGGGUUCGGCAUAAUCCUGGGAAACUGGGGAUAAUACCGGGUAGGUCACAGCUGCUGGAAUGCACUGUGGCUCAAAGCUCCGGCGCCCAAGGAUGGGUCUGCGGCCUAUCAGGGUUGUAGUGGGUGUAAUGUACCUACUAGCCUACGACGGGUACGGGUUGUGAGAGCAAGAGCCCGGAGAUGGAUUCUGAGACACGAAUCCAGGCCCUACGGGGUGCAGCAGGCGCGAAAACUUUACAAUGCGGGAAACCGUGAUAAGGGAAUCUCGAGUGCCAGCAUAUAAUGUUGGCUGUCCAGAUGCCUAAAAAGCAUCUGUUAGCAAGGGCCGGGCAAGACCGGUGCCAGCCGCCGCGGUAACACCGGCGGCCCGAGUGGUAACCGCUAUUAUUGGGUCUAAAGGGUCUGUAGCCGGCCAGGUAAGUCCCUUGGGAAAUCUGGCAGCCCAACUGUCAGGCUGCUAGGGGAUACUGUUUGGCUUGGGACCGGGAGAGGUGAGAGGUACCUUGGGGGUAGGGGUGAAAUCUUGUGAUCCUCGGGGGACCACCAGUGGCGAAGGCGUCUCACCAGAACGGGUCCGACGGUAAGGGACGAAAGCUAGGGGCACGAACCGGAUUAGAUACCCGGGUAGUCCUAGCCGUAAACGAUGCUCGCUAGGUGUCAGUCACGGUGCGACCGUGAUUGGUGCCGUAGGGAAGCCGUGAAGCGAGCCACCUGGGAAGUAUGGCCGCAAGGCUGAAACUUAAAGGAAUUGGCGGGGGAGCACCAC